rfam:Schistosoma rodhaini strain Burundi genome assembly, scaffold: SROB_scaffold0010410
AUCCAGCUGACGAGUCUUGAAUAGGAUAAAAUGCGCGUUCUGGAU